rnacentral:lncRNA from 1 species
CCCGGGAACAGCUCAGCCCGGGGCAGAGACAAAGCUUUGGGCUAGAGGGUGAAGUGUCCCAGGAAACCAGAGGCUGGGAUCCAGGCGUGUAGUUGCCUGGGUGGGCUAUUCCUGGCUCAGUGAGCUGAGAGUGGGGAAGGGGACUCAGAUCCGGGGCCCUGGGAAGGUCUGGGCCUGCGUAGAAGGAAGGUUUUUGCUGUUGCUGUGGGGUCGCUUUGUGCGUUUUGGGUUUUUCCGAAUAGUGCUUUUUCUUUUUUUUUUUUUUUUAAUUUUUUUUUUCAACGUUUAUUUAUUUUUGGGACAGAGAGAGACAGAGCAUGAACGGGGGAGGGGCAGAGAGAGAGGGAGACACAGAAUCGGAAACAGGCUCCAGGCUCUGAGCCAUCAGCCCAGAGCCCGACGCGGGGCUCGAACUCACGGACCGCGAGAUCGUGACCUGGCUGAAGUCGGACGCUUAACCAACUGCGCCACCCAGGCGCCCCCGAAUAGUGCUUUUUCUAUUAUCGCCGGACCUUCAAGAAAGUCUCCGAUAUUUUAAAGCCUAAUGCAGAAAAAAUAGUGACGAGAGGCCUGACUUUCUACUGGAAGAAUGAAGCACCUGAAUGAGACAGGAUUCUCUCGAUGCCUCCAAAUGCCGAGAAUUAAACUUAGAAGAUUAAUCAUAGAGCUUAUGAAGAGCCGUUGAGGACAGCAACUGCAGAAUGGGACAUACAGGUCAUGUUUCUGGGUUGGGAAGGUGCUUGGAGAGAUUUGAGGGAGGUGAGUACUCGACACAUGUGAGGGUCUGUUCCUUGGUCCCCACUUUGGGGCCAACAUUCUGAUGUAAGGGAGUGACGAUGACCGGCAAAGAGGUGCAGAGAAACUCAAAGCAGAUUCGUUCGUUUCCUGCUUUCCAGGACAUGGCAAAGUUGUAAGACUCCUAGAGAUGCCCCGUGAUUGGGAUGGUGCCGGAACAACUCGAUCGUAGGAAGUGGAUUAGCAGUGGGUGAGAGGACUGUUUGCAUGGAUGUGCCGAUGCCCCUCUACUUCCCCUGCCCCAGGGAAGCUUCACAGAGGCCCAGACCCUCCAGAACAGGACAAGGAAUGCAGCUAGGGGGUCUGGGACUGCAAAGGAGGGACACAGAAGUGCUGAGAGGCUUGAAAGCCUAGAAAAGUGGUAGGGUCGGGACAAUGGGAGGCAAGACUCACUAAUGUCAGCAGCAGAAGUCCGUGUACAGUGGCCAAAGGCCAGGUGACCCCCGCCCAAAAGAGAGACAAGACCUCAGGGGACAGCAACAAAGACAGGAUGACAGCUUAGGGACUGGGCCAUCCUUCAUCAUCGCCAUUAUGAAAUUUAAGGUUCCUCCUGAGCCAAAAAGUCACUUGGGAAUAGCAAGACGGGGGAGGGCAAAUCCCCUGCAAGUUGGAACACUCCAGCUUUUGGAACAUGCCAAGGAACGCUAGAAACUUAGCAGAGACUGGUGCUCAGGAGGGAGGAAUUUAGGCAAGAGUGAGAUAAAAAUUCUAGGCAUGGACCUGUGGGAUCAAGGAAAAGUCCC